rnacentral:rRNA from 1 species
UACGGAGGGUGCAAACGUUGCUCGGAAUCAUUGGGCGUAAAGCGCACGUAGGCGGCCUGUUAAGUCGGAUGUGAAAGCCCAAGGCUCAACCUUGGAAGUGCAUUCGAAACUGGCGGGCUUGAAUAUGGACGAGGGUCACGGAAUUCCCGGAGUAGAGGUGAAAUUCGUAGAUAUCGGGAGGAACACCAGUGGCGAAGGCGGUGACCUGGGCCAAUAUUGACGCUAAGGUGCGAAAGCGUGGGGAGCAAACAGG